UUACAUGUCAUUUAGCAAACGCUUUUAUGCAAAGCGACUUACAAUAGAAUUGAGUACAAUCAGUCAGGAGUGGAGUCGAACCAUUGCGACCAUGAUGUCUUUCGCACACAGGGUACCGGUCUUAACCACUGAGCCACUCCACCCCCGAACUCCCAACGACAAAGCUUCCUGGAUGUUGACUGAGGGCUCUCAUUGGCUGAGCUGUCCCAACAUGGCAGAGCUUGAUUGGCUGACUCGGACAGCGCCUACACCCGCCCUCCCUUCACUUUUCAAGAUGCUCAGGGCGGGAAAUCAAGUGCUCUUAAAGGACGAUUCUGGUUAUUUUAUCAUUUUUUUUGGAGCAACUCUCUUGUUUGAAUGUUACUGCAAAGAUACAGACUACUGUAUAUUUGAAUUGACAUAUUUAAAAGGUAUUAUUAAUAACAAUAUGUUUUUUCAAAUCUUCAUUUGGCUUACAUUUACAAAAAAAAUACUUUUAUAAAUACUAUUAUAUUCCUGUUGCUUCACUGUGCAAACAAACACAAUCUAACUUAAAUGUGAAUGCAAAUGUAAGGAACACAACAUUAAAGAUAAGGCUCUUUUUUUUAGACAAAAAUAAUAAUUCAAGGCCCACCAGUUUUUGCACACGACACCAGGGUUUCCCAUGUUGGUGUUUGUGUUUUGCGUUUGUACCAUGUGUCGGGGACAUCCUACACAAACUAUGUUAAGCCUCAUUUCAAUAUUGGAUGACUUAUGUCCUUGUCCUUCCUUUAUUUGAUGCAAACCUCUUUGAAUUGACUUACUGUUGAAAUGAAAUAAACAAAUAAAGGUGCCUCGUGUGUCGAAUAA